rnacentral:tRNA from 1 species
UUUAAGUAGUUUAAGUUAAAAUUAUGAUUUGUGAUAUCAUAGAUAUAAAAAUAUAUCUUAAAUUG